GGCGGGCCAGCUCGGUGGGCCCGGGCGCCAGGUGCGUCCCGGCGAAUUGGCCGAUUCGUUUCCCGGUUCGACUCAAGGCCCGUCA
rnacentral:tRNA from 1 species